GAUGAAGAACGUAGCGAAAUGCGAUAAGUAGUGUGAAUUGCAGAAUUCAGUGAAUCAUCGAAUCUUUGAACGCACAUUGCGCCCCUUGGUAUUCCAUGGGGCAUGCCUGUUCGAGCGUCAUUUGUACCCUCAAGCUUUGCUUGGUGUUGGGUGUUUGUCCUCUCCUUUGCGUUUGGACUCGCCUUAAAGCAAUUGGCAGCCAGUGUUUUGGUAUUGAAGCGCAGCACAUUUUGCGAUUCUAGCCGAUAAUACUUGCGUCCAUAAGCCUUUUUUAACUUUUGACCUCGGAUCAGGUAGGGAUACCCGCUGAACUUAAGCAUAUCAUAAGCGGAGGA
rnacentral:misc_RNA from 1 species